UUAAAUAAAAAUCGGCGUUGUUGCUGCCUUUCGUGGUGACGCGUCGGAAUUGAGUCGUCUUAUCUUCGGCUAAGUGACUUAAAAUUUUAUAUGAUUUUCGAACGUAUUUAAAUUGUUUACUUACGUUUGAGAUAUCGAAUAUUUUAUUAGGUUCGGUCAUUCUUAUGACUCGCGCCUAUAAUUUUUUCAUU
rnacentral:misc_RNA from 1 species